UACGUAGGGUGCGAGCGUUAAUCGGAAUUACUGGGCGUAAAGCGUGCGCAGGCGGUAAGUUAAGUCUGAUGUGAAAGCCCCGGGCGCAACCUGGGAAUGGCAUUGGAAACUGGCUUGCUGGAGUGUGGCAGAGGGGGGUGGAAUUCCGCGUGUAGCAGUGAAAUGCGUAGAUAUCAGGAGGAACACCUGCGGUGUAGACGGCUUUCUGGACCAUUGUUGACGCUGAGACACGAAAGCGUGGGUAGCAAACAGG
rnacentral:rRNA from 1 species